ACAUGUUGCCAACUAUGUGUUUGACGAGUCAAAAGAUCCUAGUGAGAUGCUUUGUGCAUAUGGUGGCUAUGGCGUGACACGGGAACAACUUCAAUGCUUAGUAGGGGAGAGCUUCAUUGAUAUUCCGGUGAUUUCCAUGUUUUGCUGAUACAUGAAUGCAAAAGAAGAGAAUCCUUCUCGCAGACACUUUUUUAAUCCAUAC